rnacentral:rRNA from 1 species
AACGUAGGGGGCAAGCGUUGCCCGGAUUCACUGGGCGUAAAGCGCGUGUAGGCGGUCCGUUAAGUCGGGUGUGAAAUCUCCAGGCUCAACCUGGAAACUGCACCCGAUACUGGCGGACUUGAGGACGGUAGAGGUCGGUGGAAUGCCGAGUGUACCGGUGAAAUGGACAGAUAUUCGGCGGAACACCAGUGGCGAAGGCGGCCGACUGGGCCGGUCCUGACGCUGAGACGCGAAAGCCAGGGGAGCGAACCGG